AGCUCCAAUAGCGUAUAUUAACGUUGUUGCGGUUAAAAAGCUCGUAGUUGGAUCUCGGUUUGGAGUGAGUGGUGCACCUUGCGGUGUCUACUGCUUGCUCUGACGAUUUUGUUGGUUCGUUUAUAGUUCUCUUAACCGAGUGCUAUAAGUGGCCACCACGUUUACUUUGAAAAAAUUGGAGUGCUCAAAGCAGGCGCUACAGCCUGAACAUUAGUGCAUGGAAUAAUGGAAUAGGAUCUCGGUUCUAUUUCGUUGGCUUUCGGAGUCGAGGUAAUGAUUAAUAGGGACAGACGGGGGCAUUCGUACUGCGACGUUAGAGGUGAAAUUCUUGGAUCGUCGCAAGACGAACUACUGCGAAAGCAUUUGCCAAGAAUGUUUUCA
rnacentral:rRNA from 1 species